AACCGACUACGGCAAUAAACUGAUAUAUGGAAUAAACGUUACGGACCCGGGGGCGGUACCCGGCGCCUCCACCAUUACCCUAAGUUAUUGGAAAUGGGGGCGAAAUAGGAUCGACGUGCGCAAUAAAGAUAUGACUUUUGCUCAGCAUGACACCGCUGUAACGGGUCAAAUUUUGUAAAUGCAAACGAUAAUGAAGCAUUUGCUGUAGCAGCUUAAUUGUGAGCUACGCGGGGUUCGGUAGGCACCUAGCAACAGAAGCCUACCACU
rnacentral:tmRNA from 1 species